rfam:Clostridium sp. N3C genome assembly, contig: N3C_contig22
UUAUAUCUUCAGGGCAGGGUGCAAGUCCCUACCGGCGGUAUAGCCCGCGAGCCGUAAGGUUGAUUCGGUGAAAGUCCGAAGCCGACAGUAUAGUCUGGAUGGGAGAAGAUAAUU